rnacentral:rRNA from 1 species
UGGGGAAUUUUGGACAAUGGGCGAAAGCCUGAUCCAGCAAUGCCGCGUGUGUGAAGAAGGCCUUCGGGUUGUAAAGCACUUUUGUCCGGAAAGAAAUCCUUGGCUCUAAUACAGUCGGGGGAUGACGGUACCGGAAGAAUAAGCACCGGCUAACUACGUGCCAGCAGCCGCGGUAAUACGUAGGGUGCAAGCGUUAAUCGGAAUUACUGGCGCAAAGCGUGCGCAGGCGGUUUGCUAAGACCGAUGUGAAAUCCCCGGGCUCAACCUGGGAACUGCAUUGGUGACUGGCAGGCUAGAGUAUGGCAGAGGGGGGUAGAAUUCCACGUGUAGCAGUGAAAUGCGUAGAGAUGUGGAGGAAUACCGAUGGCGAAGGCAGCCCCCUGGGGCCAAUACUGACGCUCAUGCACGAAAGCGUGGGGAGCAAAACAGGAUUAGAUACCCUGGUAGUCCACGCCCUAAAACGAUGUCAACUAGUUGUUGGGGAUUCAUUUCCUUAGUAACGUAGCUAACGCGUGAAGUUGACCGCCUGGGGAGUACGGUCGCAAGAUUAAAACUCAAAUGAAUUGAC